GAGGUGGAAGGGGGCAACUCCUUCCUCGAGUGGCGGACGGGUGAGUAACACGUGGGUAACCUGCCCGGAAGUGKGGAAUACCUCGGGGAAACUCGAGCUAAUWCCGCAUGACAUCUUCGGGACGAMAGUCCYGACGAUCAAAGCGGGGUCGCAAGAYCUCGCGCUACCGGAUGGGCCCGCGCCCGAUUAGCUAGUUGGUGAGGUAACGGCUCACCAAGGCUUCGAUCGGUAACCGGCCUGAGAGGGCGAUCGGUCACACCGGAACUGAGACACGGUCCGGACUCCUACGGGAGGCAGCAGUGGGGAAUCUUGCGCARUGGGCGAAAGCCUGACGCAGCAACGCCGCGUGGAGGAUGAAGGCCYUUGGGUUGUAAACUCCUGUCGGCUGGGAAGAAAUCRYRCGGUGCUCAUACCACCGUGCGUUGACUGUWCCAGCAGAGGAAGCCCCGGCUAACUCUGUGCCAGCAGCCGCGGUAAUACAGAGGGGGCUAGCGUUAUUCGGAAUUAUUGGGCGUAAAGGGCGCGUAGGCGGCCAUGCGUGUCUUCCGUGAAAUCCCUCGGCUUAACUGAGGACGUGCGGAAGAAACUGCAAGGCUCGAGUCCGGGAGAGGGGGGUGGAAUUCCCAGUGUAGCGGUGAAAUGCGUAGAUAUUGGGAGGAACACCGGUGGCGAAGGCGGCCCCUGGACCGGUACUGACGCUGAGGCGCGAAAGCGUGGGUAGCAAACGGGAUUAGAUACCCCGGUAGUCCACGCCGUAAACGAUGGCACUUGGUGUCGCGGGUAUCGACCCCUGCGUGCCGAAGCUAACGCAUNAGUGCCCCGCCUGG
rnacentral:rRNA from 1 species